GGGGUUUUCAACUGAAAAAGGAAAAACAGAUUUUUUUAUACCAAUGUAUAGAAAACAUUGUUUACCAACAUACAAAUUCCCUAAAGGGUAAGUUGUCCUACAUGUUUAGCAUAUCAAAAUUAACCACACAAGUUUAUUAUUAUUUUUUCACAGAUGAACUUAUCUGUAUAUCUUUUAUAAGGAAAAAAGGGGAGGGGGUAAGCUAGAGGUCAAUAUGAAAAAAAAUACAGAGAAGAGAAAACUAGAUAUUGUGUGUGUGCGUGUGUGUGCGUGUGUGUGGCCACCAGAGGCGAUAGUUGUGUUUUUCAUGCUCCGGGUUGAGCAGCGUGUCCCGGAAACUGUAACGGGAGUGUCGUCACACGGAGUGUCGUCACACGCCAGAUUUGCUACACCGCGAGCAGUGCACAGUUUGGGUCGAGUGAAGAACAUAUUGUGGAUUACUGUUCCUGCCAUUCAACUGAUGACAGUCUGCACUCUUGUAGGAGAAGCGAGACAAAUAAAAAAGGAUUUCUUGCACCGGUCGAGCUGCAGGGACACUCGACGCUGCAUUAAAGCCGUCUUCCGUCAUCCGCCGGCGGCUUCUGGAUGCUGCAGCUGCGGUGAGAGACUUUUGGUGGCUGACAGGUAAACCACUUGCAAAGACAACUGUUUUAAGUAACUGUAGUUGAAAAGUUUAAAGCUUUCUGCUCGUCUUUUCAUCACAUGAAAUAAUGGACAUAUAAAAGAUUUUCAAUGUGAUCAGAAAUAGUUAAACAUAAUGUUUUUGACUGUAUGAUGCUUUCCUGCAUUAAAUGUUUGAAUUUAAAUUUCCGAUUUAAAAGGUCAAAUUGCAGCUACAGUCAAUAUAUUCACUAUCUUUAACCCUGAACCUAAUAAUAUUUAGAGGGACUUUUUUUUCUGAUGGUGAAUUACAUACAGUUUAUGUUUGAUAUCUGCUAUGCUACUGUUAUUAACUUUGAUGUGUCUAAACGGUGUGAAUGUCUGAUACAAGUGGUGAUAAAAAGCCAGUAUUCAUCAAAUUUGAGCUCAGAUACAAAAAAAACAGUAUAAAAACAGCUUUUCGUGAUAAACAGUAACACAAAACCAAAUCAUGUUAGCAUCCGCUGAAGAAAUCAAAAAUUCCCCAAAAAUUCAACCAGCAAGGUCCAGCUCCCAUGAACCCACAUGGCGCAUUUCCACUACAGGGUAGCGGCUGUACUCUAAUUCUUCACUAUGCGCCUUUGGUAUGGGGUACUUUUCUGGGGGUUGUUUUCCAUUAGACCAUCUCAGUGUAGCUGUUCCUCAUAGCAACGCCGUGCGACACUGCCGUGACGUCAGUUUCAAUGCGACACACACAUAUGCACAUGGUUGGAAUUACACAGUAGCUUUAGGGUGAGCUUACUGAAAGGUUGAGCCUGCCUCAGAAUCAAUUUAUUUCGUUUAUAGUUAUUAUAUUUGUUAGACUGUAGCUCACUAUCCUUUUUAUCUGUGUAAAUACAUUUAACCCUUAUGCCCCCUUCAGGCAUUUAUGUACAUUUUUCUCAACUUUUUUUUUUCUCAGCUUGUGGCAUGAAGUUUUGCAAGACCUCGUCUUUUUAGUAAAAUUUUUGAAAUUAUUGAAAUUGUAUUCUAGUCAGCAAAGACCAUACAGAACUGAUAUGUAUUUCAUUUUUAUAUUCUUCAUUUGAGUGGUCAGCGA